rnacentral:rRNA from 1 species
UGGCGGACGGGUGAGUAAUGUCUGGGAAACUGCCUGAUGGAGGGGGAGUAACUACUGGAAACGGUAGCUAAUACCGCAUAACGUCGCAAGACCAAAGAGGGGACCUUCGGGCCUCUUGCCAUCGGAUGUGCCCAGAUGGGAUUAGCUAGUAGGUGGGGUAACGGCUCACCUAGGCGACGAUCCCUAGCUGGUCUGAGAGGAUGACCAGCCACACUGGAACUGAGACACGGUCCAGACUCCUACGGGAGGCAGCAUG